UUUCCUAUUUUUUUCCUAUUUUUUCCCAUUUUUUUUCCUUUUUUUUUUUUUUAAUUUGAUUGGAAUUGGGUUUUUUAAAUUGGUUUUUUUCCCCCCCCUCCGGAAUCCCAAUCCCAGAUUUUUCUCGAAUCCCAAUCUCAGAUUUUUUUUCCCUAUUUUUUCCCAUUUUUCCCCAUUUUUUCCUUUUUAUUUUUUUCCAAUUUAAUUGGAACUGGGGUUUUUAAAUCGUUUUUUCCCCUUGUCUGGAAUCCAAAUCCCAGAUUUUUCAGAAAUUCCAAUCCUGGGGGUUUUUGAAUUCCCCUCUGGAAUUCCAAUCCCCAAUUUAUUUUAUUUUUUUUCCCUGUGGAAUCCCAAUCCCUUUUUUUUUUUUUUUUUUAAUGAAAUUCAAAUCCCAAAUUUUUUUUAUGGAAUUCCCAAUCUCCAAUUUAUUUUAUUUUUUCCCUCUGGAAUCCCAAUCCCAUUUUUUUUAAUGGAAUUCAAAUCCCAUUUUUCUUUUCUGGAAUUCCCAAUCCCAAUCCCCAAUUUAUUUUAUUUUUUUCCCUCUGGAAUCCCAAUCCCAUUUUUUUUUUUUUAUGGAAUUCAAAUCCCAAAUUUUUUUUUAUGGAAUUCCCAAUCCCAAUCCAAAAUUUAUUUUAUUUUUUCCCCCUCUGGAAUCCCAAUCCCAUUUUUUUUUUUUAAAUGGAAUUCAAAUCCCAAAUUUUUUUUCUGGAAUUCCCAAUCCCAAUCCCCAAUUUAUUUUAUUUUUUCCCUCUGCAAUCCCAAUCCCAUUUUUUUUUUAUGGAAUUCAAAUCCCAAAUUUUUUUUUAUGGAAUUCCCAAUCCCAAAUUUAUUUUAAUUUUUCCCUCUGGAAUCCCAAUCCCAUUUUUUUUUAAUGGAAUUCAAAUCCCAUUUUUUUUCUGGAAUUCCCAAUCCCAAUCCCCAAUUUAUUUAAUUUUUUUUCCCAGUGGAAUCCAAAUCCCAUUUUUUUUUUUAUGGAAUUCAAAUCCCAAUUUUUUUUCUGGAAUUCCCAAUCCCAAUCCCAAAUUUAUUGUUUUUUUCCCCCUCUGGAAUCCCAAUCCCAUUUUUUUUUUAAUGGAAUUCAAAUCCCAAAUUUUUUUUCUGGAAUUCCCAAUCCCAAUCCCCAAUUUAUUUUUUUUCCCUCUGGAAUCCCAAUCCCAUUUUUUUUUUUAUGGAAUUCAAAUCCCAAAUUUUUUUCUGGAAUUCCCAAUCCCAAAUUUAUUUUAUUUUUUCCCUCUGGGAUCCCAAUCCCAUUUUUUUUUUUUAUGGAAUUCAAAUCCCAAAUUUUUUUUUUAUGGAAUUCAAAUCCCAAUCCCCAAUUUAUUUUAUUUUUUUCCUCUGGAAUCCCGAUCCCUUUUUUUGUUUUUUAAUGAAAUUCAAAUCCCAAAUUUUUUUCUGGAAUUCCCAAUCCCAAUCCCCAAAUUUAUUUUAUUUUUUCCCCCUCUGGAAUCCCAAUCCCAUUUUUUUUUAAUGGAAUUCAAAUCCCAAUUUUUUUUUAUGGAAUUCCCAAUCCCAAUCCCCAAUUUAUUUUAUUUCUUCCCUCUAGAAUCCGAAUCCUAUUUUUUAAUGAAAUUCAAAUACCAAAUUUUUUUUUAUGGAAUUCCCAAUCCCAAUCCAAAAUUUAUUUUAUUUUUUCCCCCUCUGGAAUCCCGAUCCCAUUUUUUUUUUUUUUUUUNUCUCCAUCAUGGAGCGCGAGCGCGGAGCCCCCGGGCCCGGGAGCCCAACGGGGACCCAGAGAUCCAGCUGGGAAUGAAUCAGGGAAGGAGGGAAUGCCGGGAAUCCUGCGGGAAUUCUGCGGGAAUCCUGCGGGAAUUAAUGCUGGGAAUCCUCUGA
rnacentral:lncRNA from 1 species